rnacentral:snRNA from 1 species
GAUUUAUGAAUUCCUAAAACUCC